UGAGGCAUGAUAGUUCAGGGAAUUCGGCCAAUUAGAGCUGUAACUUCGGGAUAAAGCUUGGCUCUGAUGAAAAUCAGAACCGAUUGUUACGCGGAGAGCCCAACUGUUUAAUAAAAACGUAGUGUCGCGCUGUGGUAGUAUAGCCAGUGAACGCGACAUGAAUCCUGCUCAGUGCUGUGUCUGUUAAUAUGGUUCAAGCCAACGAAGCACCGGUAAAUAGCUGGGGUAACUAUGACUCUUAUCAAAGUAGCGAAAUACCUCGUCACUUAAUUAGUGACCUGCAUGAACGGAGCUAUGAGGUUCUCACUGUCCCAAACUGUCUCUCAGCGAACCAACUGUAGUGGGAACGGUCACUAGAUAUCCAGCGGGGAAAGAAGACCCUGUAGAGCUUCACUUUGGUCUAGUCUUGUAUAGUUCCUGCGGGGGUGUAGACUAGGUGGGAGAGCAAUCGAUUCUGAAAAACCACUACCCUGUUUGGAAUUAUGCUUACCUAUCACAAGGAAUAGGACUAGAUAGAAAGUUUGGCUGGGGCGGCACACCUUCGAAAGAGCAGCGAAGGUGUCCUAAGUUGAGCUCAGUGAGGACAGAAAUCUCACGUUGAGGAUAAGGCCAAAAGCUCAAUUUACUGUGCCUUUUUGUACUAGGAUCAGUUACGAAAGUAAGGCCUAACGAUCCCUAAAUAGCCUCAGGUGCGUGAGGAUUGGGGUGACAGACAAGUUACCUCCGGGACAACUGGCUUGUGGCUGCUAAGAGAUCAAAUCAACGCAGCUUUUUGAUUCUUCGAUGUCGGCUCUUCCUAUCCUAGUGAUGUACAAGUUGCUAAGGGUCGGAUUGUUCACCCGUAUUAGGGAUCGUGAGCUGGGUUUAGACCGUCGUGAGACAGGUUUGUUUUAUCCUACUGGAUAUAGCAUCAUGAUAGUAGAUUGAUUUAGUACGAGAAGAACUGU
rnacentral:ncRNA from 1 species